rnacentral:rRNA from 1 species
CAGCCCUAAACGAUGCGCGUUAGGUGUAUCGGUGACCACGAGUCACCGAGGUGCCGAAGGGAAACCGUGAAACGUGCCGCCUGGGAAGUACGGUCGCAAGGCUGAAACUUAAAGGAAUUGGCGGGGGAGCACCACAAGAGGUGGAGGCUGCGGUUCAAUUGGACUCAACGCCGGAAACUCAUCGGGAGCGACAGCAGUAUGAUUGCCAGGUUGAUGACAUUGCUUGACAAGCUGAGAGGAGGUGCAUGGCGUAGUCGUGU